rnacentral:rRNA from 3 species
UUCCUGUACUUGGUGUUACUGCGAAGGGGGGACGGAGAAGGCUAUGUUGGCCGGGCGACGGUUGUCCCGGUUUAAGCGUGUAGGCUGGUUUUCCAGGCAAAUCCGGAAAAUCAAGGCUGAGGCGUGAUGACGAGGCACUACGGUGCUGAAGCAACAAAUGCCCUGCUUCCAGGAAAAGCCUCUAAGCAUCAGGUAACAUCAAAUCGUACCCCAAACCGACACAGGUGGUCAGGUAGAGAAUAC